ensembl:lncRNA LINC00210 long intergenic non-protein coding RNA 210
UGAGAUGGCUACUGAGUGACUAACAGAUUUUUCCUUUUGCAUUGUGAUGAUGUGUCCUGACAAACAACAGGAUUCCAUUAUUAAAUAGUGAUGCUACCCAAAUCCAGGCUUGUCCUGUGCUUGAUGGCUGCUGCUAUUGCUCCACAGAGAUGCCUCUUCCCAACCAGAAACUGUGUUAACCGACUCUCACACUGACUUCCAAUCCUCACCACAACCUUGCGAGGUCGGUAUUAUGACCACUACUUUACAGGUAAGGAUGGUGAAACUCGGAAAGGUUAAGUCACUCAGACCCAGCAUGCAGUGUCGUUUCCCUCUGCCCGCUGCCUGUGCUACACAUUCUGGGCGCUGUUGCUGAGCUCCGCUCAAUGGCUUUACGCCUCCCUUUCAGGGAAAAGCAGCUGCACUGAAGUUCUGUAAAUGCUGUAAUAGAAGUUGUUAACCACUUCCACAUGAUUUUUAAAGUAAAUGUCACACUGCAUUGUAA